GUGAAUCAUCGAAUUUUUGAACGCAAAUUGCACUCUCUUCAGAGAGUAUGCCUGUUUGAGGGUCAGUAUCAUCAAAAUCGGAGCGAUGCUUUUAGGGUGACGCACCGGAGUUUGGGUCAUCUUAACUCUUUUUUUACGAGACCUAAAAUUAACAUUCUUUUUUGCUCACUUUUGCGACGUACAUAAUUUUUUUUUAUUCGUCUUCCCUGGUGGCAAAAAUUUUAUUAGAUCGUGAAUCACGUAGAGUGUA
rnacentral:misc_RNA from 1 species